rnacentral:rRNA from 1 species
UCCUACGGGAGGCAGCAGUGAGGAAUAUUGGUCAAUGGACGAGAGUCUGAACCAGCCAAGUAGCGUGAAGGAUGACUGCCCUAUGGGUUGUAAACUUCUUUUAUACGGGAAUAAAGUGAGGCACGUGUGCCUUUUUGUAUGUACCGUAUGAAUAAGGAUCGGCUAACUCCGUGCCAGCAGCCGCGGUAAUACGGAGGAUCCGAGCGUUAUCCGGAUUUAUUGGGUUUAAAGGGAGCGUAGGCGGACGCUUAAGUCAGUUGUGAAAGUUUGCGGCUCAACCGUAAAAUUGCAGUUGAUACUGGGUGUCUUGAGUACAGUAGAGGCAGGCGGAAUUCGUGGUGUAGCGGUGAAAUGCUUAGAUAUCACGAAGAACUCCGAUUGCGAAGGCAGCCUGCUGGACUGUAACUGACGCUGAUGCUCGAAAGUGUGGGUAUCAAACAGGAUUAGAUACCCUGGUAGUCCACACAGUAAACGAUGAAUACUCGCUGUUUGCGAUAUACAGUAAGCGGCCAAGCGAAAGCGUUAAGUAUUCCACCUGGGGAGUACGCCGGCAACGGUGAAACUCAAAGGAAUUGACGGGGGCCCGCACAAGCGGAGGAACAUGUGGUUUAAUUCGAUGAUACGCGAGGAACCUUACCCGGGCUUGAAUUGCAACUGAAUGAUGUGGAGACAUGUCAGCCGCAAGGCAGUUGUGAAGGUGCUGCAUGGUUGUCGUCAGCUCGUGCCGUGAGGUGUCGGCUUAAGUGCCAUAACGAGCGCAACCCUUAUCGAUAGUUACCAUCAGGUUAUGCUGGGGACUCUGUCGAGACUGCCGUCGUAAGAUGUGAGGAAGGUGGGGAUGACGUCAAAUCAGCACGGCCCUUACGUCCGGGGCUACACACGUGUUACAAUGGGGGGUACAGAAGGCAGCUACACGGCGACGUGAUGCUAAUCCCGAAAGCCUCUCUCAGUUCGGAUUGGAGUCUGCAACCCGACUCCAUGAAGCUGGAUUCGCUAGUAAUCGCGCAUCAGCCACGGCGCGGUGAAUACGUUCCCGGGCCUUGUACACACCGCCCGUCAAGCCAUGAAAGCCGGGGGUACCUGAAGUGCGUAACCGCAAGGAGCGCCCUAGGGUAAAACUGGUGAUUGGGGCUAAGUCGUAACAAGGUAGCCGUACCGGAAGGUGCGGCUG